rnacentral:hammerhead_ribozyme from 1 species
GCACUGCUGAGGAGUCUUUAAUAGGACGAAACGGCCGUCCAGUAC